rnacentral:rRNA from 1 species
AUUGAACGCUGGCGGCAGGCCUAACACAUGCAAGUCGAACGAGUGGCGGACGGGUGAGUAAUGUCUGGGAAACUGCCCGAUGGAGGGGGCUAACUACUGGAAACAGUAGCUAAUACCACAUACCAUCGGAUGUGCCCAGAUGGGAUGCGCUUGUAGGUGGGGUAACGGCUCACCAAGGCGACGAUCCCUAGCUGGUCUGAGAGGAUGACCAGCCACACUGGAACUGAGACACGGUCCAGACUCCUACGGGAGGCAGCAGUGGGGAAUAUUGCACAAUGGGCGCAAGCCUGAUGCAGCCAUGCCGCGUGUAUGAAGAAGGCCUUCGGGUUGUAAAGUACUUUCAGCGAGGAGGCGUUACUCGCAGAAGAAGCACCGGCUAACUCCGUGCCAGCAGCCGCGGUAAUUC